AUUGAACGCUGGCGGCAUGCCUUACACAUGCAAGUCGAACGGCAGCACGGGAGCAAUCCUGGUGGCGAGUGGCGAACGGGUGAGUAAAGUAUCGGAACGUGCCCAGUCGUGGGGGAUAACGUAGCGAAAGUUACGCUAAUACCGCAUACGAUCUAUGGAUGAAAGCGGGGGAUCGCAAGACCUCGCGCGAUUGGAGCGGCUGAUAUCAGAUUAGGUAUUUGGUGGGGUAAAGGCUCACCAAGCCGACGAUCUGUAGCUGGUCUGAGAGGACGACCAGCCACACUGGGACUGAGACACGGCCCAGACUCCUACGGGAGGCAGCAGUGGGGAAUUUUGGACAAUGGGCGAAAGCCUGAUCCAGCCAUGCCGCGUGCAGGAUGAAGGCCUUCGGGUUGUAAACUGCUUUUGUACGGAACGAAAAGGUUUGGGCUAAUAAGCUGAGCUCAUGACGGUACCGUAAGAAUAAGCACCGGCUAACUACGUGCCAGCCGCCGCCGUAA
rnacentral:rRNA from 1 species